rnacentral:lncRNA from 10 species
GAAUGAAUGUAAAAGUAUUCAAUAAGUGUAAUUAUUAUUAUUAUCCCUCAUCCCUAUUCACUGGUGAACGAACCAUACUGUUUUUUAUUUCUGUGCUUUUGCAUUUUGCUUAGAAUGUUUCCUGCUUUCUUCCAUCAGCCUGGUGAAAUCCUGCUCACCCUGCAAGAUCUAUGUAGAGUGACUUUCUCUGUUCCUUGUCUGUUUCCCAUGCCCUCAAACACUCUUAUUAUAGAUGAAGCAAGCCUUUGCCAUCUCCAGGCUCUCCAUUGCCUUUGACUCCACUUCUGCCUGCUGAUCUGCAUUGCCUACCUCUGAUGUCAAUCCGUGUUGGUCCCCACCUGAAAGGCCACUUUCUUGUACUAAAGAGGAUGUACUAGCCUGGAUACCUCAAGUCUUUCUGUCUGUAAUUCUCAAAAUUCAGUCUUGGAAUAAAUAGUUCCCUUUUGAACUAUGCAGACCGCAUCAUUUGCAUUUCUUUUCUAGCUUUUGCUGUUCCUAUUGGCGACUGCACAAUUCUUAGCAACACUGAAGUGCUGGAGGUGAAGCUCUCCGUGUGUUGUCUUCAGAUGACGAAUGUAUUCUUCUGAUGACUUGGGACAAAUUCUCCCUCCAAAAUGCCACUGUCUGUGAAUACACCCUCCUGUAAAACUCUGGCCAUAGUACAGGGUGAAAGGUUUUAUGGACAAAAAACAAUGUUGCAGAUUACUCUCUUCUAGAUUACUCAAAAGUCCUCUCCUCUAUGGCAGCUUCCUAUAAUCCAAUCACAGUCCUUUCUGAGUCUUCCCACCUCACCUGGCUUCUGCAGCUGGAGUUAAACAUGAUUUGCUCUUUGCUUUCUUAGGCUUUUGUUACUGAAUUAUUUUAUGUUAUCUUUUAGAUGUUGAUGGUCACUUGCACGUGCCAUAGCGGAGGUCUAAUGGUCUCAAGGAGGAUUUUAACUUUGUAUUUUGGAGCUUAUAAGGCAUUGUAGGAUCUGGCCUGCCCUGACUCCACUUUACCAGAACCAUCUGCUGCUCUUCUCUCUUGUGUUACUCAAGGUAUUAGCUGCUGUGGCAAAUCAACUCUGAAAUCUCCGUGACUUAAUACAAGAGAGGUUUAUUUCUUACUCACGCUGGGUGCACUGCCACUUGGUAACAGAGGAGCUAUGGAAACUUGAGACCUAAGCAGAAAUGAGUUCAAUAAUAUUGCUACACUCUAGGACUUUCUCCAAAAUUAACAACAGAACAAAAGUGCAAGGCAGUGAUAACCCAUCUGACAGCAUUUGGGGAGUGUUUGUGAAAGCAAUGGUGAUGGAGGUUUUAAAAGAAUGUCAGGUAAGGGGAAGUGACAAAUGGAUGAGCUAUUUUAAAAUUCAGAACGAUUUCAUAAGCCUCAUAAAACUGGAUAUGCUAUGUUAUUGGGGGGAAGAGUGUUUAUUUCAUGUUUUACUAAGGAAAAAACUGUUCAAGAACCUUAUAGAACUUAAAUAUGUUUUCCCUCUCUUCUUGCAGAUCAUAUAAGCAAGAAUGUUGAUGAACAUAGCUUGGGACCAAGACGG